rnacentral:lncRNA from 1 species
CGCGGCUGUUCCCGCACUAUAUAAGGGAGAGGUGCGGAGUGUCUCGCCCUUUCGAUGGGCGCGGGGCGAUGGAAACGGAACUGCAGCGCUGCCUCAGAGGGACUGGACUGGGACCGGGACUGGGACCGGGACCGGCCUCAGCCUCUCCCGGCGCGGCCAGCGGGAAGCCCUGCGUCCUUCAGGCGCAGCAAACCGCUGCUGGUGGAGGCGGCUCCACAGCUGUGCCUUCCCCCGCCAUGUUCUGGCGAGGCUCCCUCAAGGCCGGUGCCGCUUCCCCCCGGCCCCGGCGCUGAGCGGCUGCGGCGGGAGCACCGAGCGAGUUUUCUUUCUUCAGCCUGGCAGUGGACAAAAAAUGAAGUGACCAGACCAGGAUGGUGUGAGUUCAGAAAUGCAGGGUGAUCCUUCAGGAGGGGGCUGCCCGAGAAGCUUCAGCCACCUUUCUAACUAGGCAGACCAGAGGUGAGCUCCACUGUUGGGAGGUGCCAGCCUUGCCCAGGUGAGCUGCAGUGCCAGGAGAUGCCAGCCCUGCCCCAUCUCGUGUUGCAGGCAUGGCUGCAGUGCCAUGUCUGUGUCAUUCGGUGGCAGACAGCAACAGGCGAGGUCUUCCCUGGUGCUCUGAGCCCUGUGAGCUCUCAGGAUUGCUCAACAACCUGACAUUUCAGUUCUUUUUCCUGCUCUCUUGCCUUUAAUGGGGAAUGGUGGAGGAUGGACACUGUCCUUUAGCCCGUCCCUGUAUCCAAGUGGUGCUGUUUGUCACUGUCCCUUCUCGAGGGACACCAAGAGCACGCAGAGAUUGUGACCCUGAGCUUUGCAGUGAGUGGCUCUGGCACUGCUGAAUGGGAAACCUCAUUAAACGGCCAUUAGAGGGCCAGAGGGGCCUCGGUGCAAAGUGAGCACUUUAAUUGGCAAAAGUCACUGGCUUUGGAGAAGAAUGUGAAUGAGGUUGUGGGGAUGUGGUUCUGCUUGAGGAUGUGGCUCUUUUAUUUAAAUUUCUUGACUUCUUUUAACCCUGCAAUGCGUGUUUGGGGUUUUUCAUCAGGCUUUGCUCACUCCAGGGGUCCUGCGUGGGCUCUGAGUGCUAAUGAGUGUCUCUAGAGCUCCCUGUGAGGCACAGCAGAACCAUGAACAUUUUCCUGAUGGCAUUUGUGGAACUGCCCUUCCCCAGGCAGCACUCCUGGACCAUGGAGAUUGCUUUGCUGAAGGAAAAACUGGCUCUGAGCUGUGGAAAACGUGAAUGUUUUACAUGAAAGUGGUUUAGAGAGGAAUUAAAAAUCUCUCUGCACAUAGCACAGCCCUUCAUCAUCAAGGACUGGUUUAUGUAAUGGCUUUAAAGCUGGAAUAAGCUCAGAUUUUUUUUUUUCCCUGCACUAUUAAUAGCUUGGCUCUGCACCAAGGUUGGCAAACUCACCUUGGAUUUUUAGGGAGUGAUGGAAUAACCCAGAGCAG